rnacentral:rRNA from 1 species
AUUCAUUGGGUUUAAAGGGUGCGCAGGCUGUAAGGCAAGUCAGUGGUGAAGCCCUGGCUUAACUCAGGGAUUGCCAUUGAAACUGUUUUACUAGAGUGUAGUAGAGGACGGCGGAAUGAGUUGUGUACCGGUGAAAUGCAUGGAUAUAACUCAGAACACCUAUUGCGUAGGCAGCUGUCUAUACUACAACUGACGCUGAGGCACGAAAGCGUGGGGAGCGAACAGGAUUAGAUACCCUGGUAGUCCACGCUGUAAACGAUGAUCACUCGUUGUUGGCUACUUAGUAGUCAGUGACCAAGGGAAACCGAUAAGUGAUCCACCUGGGGAGUACGUCGGCAACGAUGAAACUCAAAGGAAUUGACGGGGGCCCGCACAAGCGGAGGAACAUGUGGUUUAAUUCGAUGAUACGCGAGGAACCUUACCUGGGCUUAAAUGCUGGCUGCAUUGGAGGGAAACCUUCAUUUCCUACGGGACCGCCAGCAAGGUGCUGCAUGGUUGUCGUCAGCUCGUGCCGUGAGGUGUCGGGUUAAGUCCCAUAACGAGCGCAACCCCUAUCGCUAGUUGCCAGCAUGUAAUGGUGGGGACUCUAGCGAGACUGCCGGUGUAAACCGGAGGAAGGUGGGGAUGACGUCAAAUCAGCACGGCCCUUACGUCCAGGGCUACACACGUGUUACAAUGGCCGGUACAAAGAGCAGCCACCUGGCGACAGGGCGCUAAUCUCAAAAACCGGUCUCAGUUCGGAUCGAAGUCUGCAAUUCGACUUCGUGAAGGUGGAUUCGCUAGUAAUCGCGCAUCAGCCAUGGCGCGGUGAAUAAGUUCCCGGGCCUUGUACACACCGCCCGUCAAGCCAUGGAAGUCGGGGGUACCUGAAGUCCGUAACCGA